rnacentral:rRNA from 1 species
UACGUAGGGGGCUAGCGUUGUCCGGAAUCAUUGGGCGUAAAGAGCGUGUAGGCGGCCCGGUAAGUCCGCUGUGAAAGUCGGGGGGCUCAACCCUCGGAUGCCGGUGGAUACUGUCGGGCUUGAGUACGGAAGAGGCGAGUGGAAUUCCUGGUGUAGCGGUGAAAUGCGCAGAUAUCAGGAGGAACACCAAUUGCGAAGGCAGCUCGCUGGGACGUUACUGACGCUGGAGACGCGAAAGCGUGGGGAGCAAACAGG